AUACGUAGGGAGCGAGCGUUGUCCAGAAUUACUGGGCGUAAAGGGCGCGUAGGCGGGAAAUUAAGUCAGGUGUGAAAACUCCGAGCUCAACUUGGAGAUUGCACUUGAAACUGGUAUUCUUGAGGGCAGGAGAGGAAAGUGGAAUUCCUAGUGUAGCGGUGAAAUGCGUAGAUAUUAGGAGGAACACUAGUGGCGAAGGCGGCUGUCUGGACUGCACCUGACGCUGAGGCGCGAAAGCGUGGGUGGCGAACGGGAUUAGAUACCCCGGUAGUCCACGCUGUAAACGAUGGGUACUAGGUGUAGGAGGUAUCGACCCCUUCUGUGCCGCAGUUAACGCAAUAAGUACCCCGCCUGGGGAGUACGGCCGCAAGGUUGAAACUCAAAGGAAUUGACGGG
rnacentral:rRNA from 1 species